UACGAAGGUGGCGAGCGUUGUCCGGAAUUACUGGGUGUAAAGGGCGUGUAGGCGGGGAUGCAAGUCAGAUGUGAAAUUCCAUGGCUCAACUGUGGAGCUGCAUCUGAAACUGCGUCUCUUGAGUGCCGGAGAGGAAAGCGGAAUUCCCAGUGUAGCGGUGAAAUGCGUAGAUGUUGGGAGGAACACCAGUGGCGAAGGCGGCUUUCUGGACGGUAACUGACGCUGAGGUGCGAAAGCGUGGGGAGCAAACAGG
rnacentral:rRNA from 1 species